rnacentral:rRNA from 1 species
UACAGAGGGUGCAAACGUUGUUCGGAUUUACUGGGCGUAAAGCGCGUGUAGGCGGCUUUGCAAGUCGGAUGUGAAAUCCCACGGCUCAACCGUGGAAGUGCAUCCGAAACUGCAUCGCUGGAGUCUCGGAGAGGAAGGUGGAAUGCUUGGUGUAGAGGUGAAAUUCGUAGAUAUCAAGCAGAACACCUGCGGCGAAGGCGGCCUUCUGGACGAUGACUGACGCUGAGACGCGAAAGCGUGGGGAGCAAACAGG